rnacentral:rRNA from 1 species
AUUGAACGCUGGCGGCAGGCCUAACACAUGCAAGUCGAGCGAGCGGCGGACGGGGGAGGAAGGGCUGGGAAACUGCCUGAUGGAGGGGGAUAACGACUGGAAACGGUAGCUAAUACCGCAUACCAGCAGAUGAGCGCAGAGGGGAUUAGCUAGGAGGUGGGGUAACGGCUCACCUAGGCGUAGUUCCCUAGCUGGUCUGAGAGGAUGACCAGCCACACUGUAACUGAGUCACGGUCCAGACUCCGACGUGAGGCAGCAGUGGGGAAUCUUGCACAAUGUGCGCCAGCCUGAUGCAGCCAUGCCGCGUGUGUGAAGAAGGCCUUCGGGUUGUAAAGCACUUUCCGCGGGCAGGCGUUACCCGCAGAAGAUGCACCGGCUAACUCCGUGCCAGCAGCCGCGGUAAUUC